rnacentral:rRNA from 1 species
GACGAAGGAUGCAAGCGUUAUCCGGAUUCAUUGGGUUUAAAGGGCGCGUAGGCGGCCUACUAAGUCAGACGUGAAAUCCCCCGGCUUAACCUGGGAACUGCGUCUGAUACUGGAAGGCUUGAGGAUGGGAGAGGGAUGUAGAAUUCCCGGUGUAGUGGUGAAAUGCGUAGAUAUCGGGAGGAACACCAGUGGCGAAGGCGACUACCUGGCUGUUCUUGACGCUGAGGCGCGAAAGCUAGGGGAGCGAACAGG